UACAGAGGGUGCAAGCGUUGUUCGGAAUCAUUGGGCGUAAAGGGCGUGUAGGCGGUUUGUUAAGUCAUGUGUGAAAUCCCUCGGCUCAACCGGGGAACGACGCAUGAAACUGACAAGCUAGAGUACCAAAGAGGGGGUGGAAUUCCGGUGUAGCGGUGAAAUGCGUAGAUAAUCGGGAGGAACACCAGUGGCGAAGGCGACUACCUGGCCUGUUCUUGACGCUGAGGCGCGAAAGCUAGGGGAGC
rnacentral:rRNA from 1 species